rfam:Picea glauca, whole genome shotgun sequence.
UCAAAGGCUUUUCUAAAGCCAACAAAAUAACAAAAAAUAUUAGU